rnacentral:sRNA from 1 species
UCCCUGAAAUGACAAAUGAUUCAAGGAAUGUAGCGUC